rnacentral:rRNA from 1 species
GUGAGUAACGCGUGAGAAUCUACCUCCGAGAUGGGGACAACCCGUUGGAAACGACGGCUAAUCCCCAAUAAGCCGAAAGGUGAAAGGGUUUCCGCUCGCAGAGGAGCUCGCGUCCGAUUAGUUAGUUGGUGGGGUAAGAGCCUACCAAGGCAGCGAUCGGUAGCUGGUCUGAGAGGAUGAGCAGCCACACUGGGACUGAGACACGGCCCAGACUCCUACGGGAGGCAGCAGUGGGGAAUUUUCCGCAAUGGGCGCAAGCCUGACGGAGCAACGCCGCGUGUGGGAAGAAGGCUCUUGGGCUGUCAACCACUUUUCUCAGGGAAGAAGUCCUGACGGUACCUGAGGAAUCAGCCUCGGCUAACUCCGUGCCAGCAGCCGCGGUAAUACGGAGGAGGCAAGCGUUAUCCGGAAUUAUUGGGCGUAAAGCGUCCGCAGGGGGCACUUCAAGUCUGCUGUCAAAGGUCGGAGCUUAACUCCGGUUCGGCAGUGGAAACUGGAGCGCUAGAGGGCGACAGGGGUAGAGGGAAUUCCCAGUGUAGCGGUGAAAUGCGUAGAGAUUGGGAAGAACACCGGUGGCGAAAGCGCUCUACUGGGUCGCACCUGACCCUCAGGGACGAAAGCUAAGGUAGCGAAAGGGAUUAGAUACCCCUGUAGUCUUAGCCGUAAACGAUGGAUACUAGGCGUGGUUUGUAUCGACCCAAGCCGUGCCGAAGCUAACGCGUUAAGUAUCCCGCCUGGGGAGUACGCACGUCAAGUGUGAAACUCAAAGGAAUUGACGGGGGCCCGCACAAGCGGUGGAGGAUGUGGUUUAAUUCGAUGCAACGUGAAGAACCUUACCAGGGCUUGUCAUCCCGAGAAUCUUGUUGAAAGGGGAGAGUGCCUUCAGGAGCGCGGAGACAGGUGGUGCAUGGCUGCCGUCAGCUCGUGUCGUGAGAUGUUGGGUUAAGUCCCGCAACGAGCGCAACCCUCGUCCUUAGUUGCCAGCAUUAAGUUGGGCACUAUAGGGAGACUGCCGGUGACAAACCGGAGGAAGGUGAGGAUGACGUCAAGUCAGCAUGCCCCUUAUGCUCUGGGCAACACACGUCCUACAAUGGUCGGGACAAAGGGGAGCAAGCUCGCGAGAGUAAGCGAAUCCCAGCAAGCUCGGCCUCAGUUC